rnacentral:rRNA from 1 species
UACGAGGGGGGCAAGCGUUGUUCGGAAUUAUUGGGCGUAAAGAGCGUGUAGGCGGCUGGGUAGGUCCGUUGUGAAAACUCGAGGCUCAACCUCGAGACGCCGAUGGAAACCCCCCAGCUAGAGUCCGGAAGAGGAGAGUGGAAUUCCUGGUGUAGCGGUGAAAUGCGCAGAUAUCAGGAAGAACACCCGUGGCUAAGGCGGGUUGCUGGGCUGACACUGACGCUGAGGCGCGAAAGCUAGGGGAGCGAACGGG